rnacentral:lncRNA from 1 species
UAUUUGCACCUCACAAUUAAAAAAUCUAUAAUCUGUUGAAAGAAACUGCACUAGUAAAUGAUAUGGUUAGAAGUUACAGGAUCUAAAGGUUCGAGAUGAUUGAAUCAUCUAACGUUUCUAAUGUCAGAGUCAAGAGUAAAUGGGUCAAAAAGAGAUUUCUGUAAAAGCACAACGCAAGGUGUAAUUACCCAAAAAUAAUACUGAGUCAACACAAGUGAGUCAAAAGCCGAGUGAACGAACAACGCAAAGUGUCAGAAACGCACCUUGGAUGUGGAGAGCCUUUGUUUUGAAUCUUUGAUGGGUUGUGACCGUUCAUAGAGCCGCACUUCCUCUUCCCCUACGACGAAGGCCGCGGCGGCCGACCACUCCCUGCCGACGCCGACGACGACAACGAAUUCGCCGCUGAUUUUUUGAGGAAGCGGAAGUAAACAAUAAACCCUAGAAAUCGAAUCCGUUUUUUUUUAAUGGUCCGAUUCUGAUCCAACAGCUCUGAUUCUCUGAUUUUCUCUUGUUAAGAAUCUCUUGUUAAGAAAUCAUAGGGUCCUCUUCUGAAGCGAGCGUGGCCGAUUUUGGUCCGAUUGAUCAUAGUGAAAAAACAUGGCCCUAGUCAUAAUGGGUCCCGCAUAAUAAUGGGUCCCAAAGUCAACAAGGAUCAUGACUAUAUUUAGCCUGGUAAUGCUUAAAAGCAAAUUUUUUUUUUAGUUUGCUACUAAAAAAUUUAAAAAAUUUAAAAAAUUUAGAUUUUUUUGCUUUCAUAUAUUUACUUUAGCUAAAAAAAAUUAAAAAAAUCAACUCUAGUGGUUUUUUUGCUUAUAAGCUUAACGUCUUGUCAGGGCAAAUGUUUUUUUUGAAUUUUUUUAAUAGUCUUAACUUUUGAUUUUUUUUUAUUUUAAAUAAUUUUUUUAAUUAUUUUAUUAAAAUUUUAUAUUUUAUCGAUUCUUCUGUGGAUGGAAAUCCAAAAAUAUAAAUAAUUUUAUAUAAUUUAUAAAAAAACUCACUAAAGAUAAAAAAUUAUUUUUUAGAUUUUUUUGAAUGAAAUUAUUAUUUUUGGCCUUUUGUAUUUUUUUUCAAAUUAGAUGAAUAUUUUUAUAUUUUUAGACUAUAAUCAAGAUCAAAUGGAAAAAAGAGUUAACUAAAAUACCAAAAAACAGAGUCGGCAGAGAUUUGUAAAAGAAAAAAAAUAUUAAACUUGAAUCGUUAGAUUCGUUGACUUUUCUUUUUUUUUUUCUCUACCAAAUCAUAAAUCCAAAUAUAGCCUUGAACAAUUUAAGAUUGUAUUUCAAUAAAAAAAUUGGUAAGAUUUGUUAAGGAAAAUGAAAAAUUAAAAAAAAGAAAAUGCUACACAUCAUCCAAAGAACGGUGAUUUUUUUUUAAUAGGAAAGAAAUAUAUUGAUAAUUAUGAAAAUUGUAUAUAAAUUUAUAAAUAUUCGUAUUAACUACCGCUCAAUAAAUCUAACAAGCGAUGAUUGAGAGUGAAGUCAUGUGUCCAAUUGUUUUUGGUUUCAAUUUAUAUUUAUAUUUAAUGGGGUAUGAGGCCCAUAACCCAUGCACGCGAGAUCUAUUAUGUAUAUUAUUAAUUGAAUGACGAUAUGGAAUAAAAUUGAAUGAUAAGAAUAAGUUUGUAGAUAGAUUGUCAUAUUUUAAGACAAUUUUGAUUUGUAAUCAUACUGCUAUAAAUAUUAAAUCAAUUUAACUUUUUUUUUAUAGACAAUCUAUGUUCAUAGACUUAAAAAAAUGAAUCGAUUGAGAUCCUGUUUUGGGUAUUUAUUUAUUUUAUCUUUUUAUGUUAGUAAAUUUUUUUCAUCGUUUUUUUAAAUUUUAAAUUUUUUUAGUUUAUUUUGACAAGAAUAGUCCGAAGAUAGAUUUUUUUUUUAUCUAAUUUGAUUUUUUUUUAUUAAAAACGAUUAUAUUUUUUGACUCCUUUUGUCAAUAAAAAUUAAAAAAAUAUAAAUUUUUAAUCAAACAAAAAAAUAAAUUCACUAUAAAUAAAAACUUGAAAAUAAAAAAAUAAAAAUAUCCAAACUUGAAUCGAUGAAUCUUUUAGUCAUCCAAACCGGACCGACAUAGCACAAAAAUCAAAUCUAUUUGGAUAAACUGCAGAAUUCACGUGUAUACUGAAAAUCAAAGGCUGACAGCCUCGUCAAUCAGCGCAUUAAAUUGGAAAAUUAUUCAGUGCUUUGAGCGCAAGUCCUAGUAGUGUUCUAACAUUAGAAUGAUUGAUCUAAAAUACUGAUAUUCAUUAACUUUUGUGUAUAAAUUGUAGUCGACAUGUGCAAAUGUAUCACUCAGUAAAUGAUGUAGAGCAAUACUCUAAGAGUAUCGAAUAAUCUCUCAUUAAAUUUGGAUCAGCUGGGCUUGAAUCUGAACCGAAGUCCAGUUACAAGCAUUCACGAGGUGAGCAUCUUUUGUGAAGAUAGACCCAUCAUCCAUCCCGACCCAAUAGUGGCCGCAAAAAGUUCUGGCCCGGCCCACCUUCAUAGCACGUCCAAUUCAGAUCAUU